ensembl:lincRNA Gm17382 predicted gene, 17382
GGGAAAACCGAUGUGGCAUGCUCUUCCCAGGCAACUGUGCUGGGACAGGGUCCCGCAAACGUCGCGGGAGAAAAACCGAAGACAUGAGGUGCUCCCAGUGCGGUCCAACAGGCGUAUUUUAAAUAUAUGUCCCCAGGUCCAUGACUGAAGAAAAUUCUGGAAGGACUCCCAGGAAGUUAUUUCUUUUUUCUGCUUGCUGUGAUAUUGAGGAGAAAACGGUGAUGACAUCUUUUUGGCUGGAUGGAACUGAUGGAAGAUUUAUGGAGCAGCUGAGGACUGUCAGAGCCAGACCCAGCAGAUUUCCUAAGAGAAUGACCAUGGCCUUUUCAUCAGCGAGCACACUGCCUUCUGAAAUGGUCUAACAUGAGAGAGAGAGAGAGAGAGAGAGAGAGAGAGAGAGAGAGAGAGAGAGAAGGAGAGGGAGAGGGAGAGGGAGAGGGAGAGAGGGAGAGAGAGAGAGAGCCCUAUCUAACCAGCCAUCAGUGAGGUUAUCCCUGUACCCCACAGCUGCUGCCACCCAAUCUGAAGGUUCCCGCUUCUGCUCUUGAAGUAUUUAUUGUAUGUGACCACACAGAAGUCCUAGCUGUCACCCACCGUCAAACCCCCUAGCCCCAGUCUGGGACCCAGAGCCCUCCAGGAGUGGGAAACUUCAUCCUAUACCUUCUCAGUCACAGGGAUUUCAGAAAUUAGUCACAGGAAGCAGGGAGGCCGAGAGUGGAGGCUUCCAAGAGGAGCCAGUAACAGGAUCUGGGAUCUUUCACCCCAGGUCACAGAAGCUUAGACUGUCCCCAAGGUAGAGAUGAGUGGUCAAGGAUGGAACCGGCCUUCCCAAGGCUUCUGCCAGCAGCAAGAGCUUUGGGGAGAUGGAACCUAUAGCCAGGCAGUCGUCCCCUCACUGACUGCUCUCUCCCGUAUCUCAAAUGUCUGUCCUAAUACUCUCAACUCUGAGAGACAACAAGGGGUUGACUGGAGCCCAGAACCCAGCAUGUAUCUGAAACAAAGUCUUGACCUGACUUCCAGCCCUCCCCUCAUGAAUGAACACUGUUGCAUCUCAGAGUACUCUCAGACAUCCCAGAAUUGUCACUCACAGACAUCUCAUGUGGACAGACAGUAAAUGAUAAUCAUUCUGAAGGUAUGGAAAAGUUGUGGGGUGGUAGAGGCAGAAGGCACUGGGUUCAAUCCUCUAUAUGGAGAGAAAGAUGAUAGAUAGAUAGAUAGAUAGAUAGAUAGAUAGAUAGAUAGAUAGAUAGAUAGAUGAUAGAUAGAUAGACAGACAGAUAAAUAGAUAGAUCAGAGACACACACUAAAUAUCUACCAACAGAAAAUAGUUUAGGGCUGGUGAGAUAGCUCAGCAGUUAAGAGCACUGACUGCUUUUCCAAAGGUCCCAAGUUCAAAUCCCAGUCACCACAUGGUAGCUCACAACCCUCUAUAAGGAGAUCUGAUGCCCUCUUCUGGAGUAUCUGAAAACAGUUACAGUGUAGUUACAUAUAAUAAAUAUAUC